rnacentral:misc_RNA from 1 species
AAACUUAAGGCUCUUCUGAUGCUAAGUGACAGAGACAAUGAUAAUGUUGUGUAAGGACCAUAUGGAGGGACCCUACUUAGAUUUUGCAGGUAAUAAAAACCAACCAUUGGAAUUUUUUACUGUAACUAGACAGUGUUUAUAAUUAAGAUUGUAAAGAGCAUUCCAAGAACAGAAUUGUAAAUGUCAAACAUUUUUGCUGAAUAUUCCAAGCAAUAAUCUUGCUUUCCACAGCAUAUACAAUUCAUCAAAUUGAUGAAUUUUUCCUUAUUCAUGUG